GAUUAACGCUAGCGGCAGGCCUAAUACAUGCAAGUCGAGGGGUAACAGGGUAGCAAUACCGCUGACGACCGGCGCACGGGUGAGUAACACGUAUGCAACCUACCUAUAACUGGGGAAUAGCCUUCCGAAAGGAGAUUAACACCGCAUAACAUCACGAGACGGCAUCGUCUUGUGAUCAAACCUCCGGGGGUUAUAGAUGGGCAUGCGUAACAUUAGCUAGUUGGUGAGGUAACGGCUCACCAAGGCGACGAUGUUUAGGGGGUCUGAGAGGAUGAUCCCCCACACUGGUAC
rnacentral:rRNA from 1 species